GAGCAAGUCGUUUGUCUCAAAAGGUAAAUCCUUCUGCAAACGCGUUGCUUUUUUUAAUUACGGCCCGCAGGCGUUGGCUUGGGGCGGGGAAACGGGGUGCGUUCCCCGGGUUUCCCUGCAAACCAGGGCGUUUUGUGAAACUUUGCUUUUGUCGGAUGCCAAGACGGAGGUGUCGCAACGUAAGGAGACGCGCCGGGAGCCUGUAACCCAGCCGAGAGCAGCCAAGGCACGAAACGUGCCGCAGCCCGACGCGUUUGCUGGUCUUAGGUAUGAUGCACGGCGCUUGCACGGUCCGUUUGAGCACUGGUGUUAUAUCCAAAAACCCAAAAAAAAAAAAAAACACCCAAACAGGCAGCUCAUUUUGAUGAGUCAAAACCAGAGAAACAGCACGCAAUUCCAGUCCGCGGGGUGAAGCAGCAGGACGUACAAACCUUGCCGCUUUCGACCCUUGCGUUGAGUUUGUGGCGUUGCCUGCAGCGGGCCCAAGGCGUCCCCGGCGUAACCGUGCUGACCUUGUGGACGCGUCUGGAGGGCUUACGCCUAGAUCUGGUUUGACGGUCACCUCGGACGUCUUGCCUUGCUCCUCUGCUCUGUGCCUCAGUUUCUCUGUUUGGAAGAAGAUAUUCGCCUCCUUUGAGAUCUCCUGAUGAAAGCUCUGCGGAGGAGCUGUUACAGAAGAAGGGAGGGAGGACCAAACUUGUCAGGGUAGCCCUGACGCGGAGAAGGUUAUUUCAUGUUGUUGUGGUUGGAUGAAUCUGGUGCCGUGAAGACUCCUGGAGGGGCACCUUAGGAGCCUGGAGGAUUGCAGCGGGGAGACCGAACCUCUUCGGUAUGGCCAGCAGCCUACCCAUGAGCUCAGAUUUCCAGCAUUACAGUUUCAGGAUGCCUAACAUCGGGUUCCAGAACCUGCCUCUCAACAUAUAUAUCGUGGUUUUCGGCACAGCCAUCUUCGUCUUCAUCCUCAGUUUACUCUUCUGUUGCUACUUGAUCAGGCUCAGACACCAAGCCCACAAAGAGCUUUACGCCUACAAACAGGUGAGGUGCUAAACAGUAAGUUGCCUUUUUCUCCCCUUUUGCUUAGAGCCAAAUACGCGUAAAGGCCACGGGUUUCUUGAAGCGAUGGCUUUUUUUUCCGUUUUCGGUCCUGCGGCCGCCGGGGCGCUCGCCUUGCCGUCGGUGAGCCGGGCUGCGAAAAGAAAAAGGAGGUGGUGGGGGGGGAACGGGGAAGAAUCAGCAGGAGGAAAAAAAAAUAAUAAUAAUAAUUGUAGGAGUAUCGUUGAGAAAGAAAACCUAAACUC